CCCCAAACACAUACUCCAGAGAGUUCCACUCCUUUACUUACAGUCACAAAGUCCAGCUUCCUUUGAGAGGCCUUCGGGAUCUCAAAAGGCUUCCACCUCAG